CUAUACAUGCAAGUCGAGCGAAUCUGAGGGAGCUUGCUCCCAAAGAUUAGCGGCGGACGGGUGAGUAACACGUGGGCAACCUGCCUGUAAGACUGGGAUAACUCCGGGAAACCGGGGCUAAUACCGGAUAAUAUCUAUUUAUACAUAUAAUUAGAUUGAAAGAUGGUUCUGCUAUCACUUACAGAUGGGCCCGCGGCGCAUUAGCUAGUUGGUGAGGUAACGGCUCACCAAGGCGACGAUGCGUAGCCGACCUGAGAGGGUGAUCGGCCACACUGGGACUGAGACACGGCCCAGACUCCUACGGGAGGCAGCAGUAGGGAAUCUUCCGCAAUGGACGAAAGUCUGACGGAGCAACGCCGCGUGAGUGAUGAAGGUUUUCGGAUCGUAAAACUCUGUUGUUAGGGAAGAACAAGUACCGGAGUAACUGCCGGUACCUUGACGGUACCUAACCAGAAAGCCACGGCUAACUACGUGCCAGCAGCCGCGGUAAUACGUAGGUGGCAAGCGUUGUCCGGAAUUAUUGGGCGUAAAGCGCGCGCAGGCGGUUCUUUAAGUCUGAUGUGAAAGCCCACGGCUCAACCGUGGAGGGUCAUUGGAAACUGGGGAACUUGAGUGCAGAAGAGGAAAGUGGAAUUCCAAGUGUAGCGGUGAAAUGCGUAGAGAUUUGGAGGAACACCAGUGGCGAAGGCGACUUUCUGGUCUGUAACUGACGCUGAGGCGCGA
rnacentral:rRNA from 2 species